rnacentral:rRNA from 1 species
AACCUCCGCAAUGUGAGAAAUCGCGACGGGGGGAUCCCAAGUGCCAUUCUUAAACGGGAUGGCUUUUCAUUAGUGUAAAGAGCUUUUGGAAUAAGAGCUGGGCAAGACCGGUGCCAGCCGCCGCGGUAACACCGGCAGCUCUAGGUGGUAGCAAUUUUUAUUGGGCCUAAAGCGUCCGUAGCCGGUUUAAUAAGUCUCUGGUGAAAUCCUGUAGCUUAACUGUGGGAAUUGCUGGAGAUACUAUUAGACUUGAGACCGGGAGAGGUUAGAGGUACUCCCAGGGUAGAGGUGAAAUUCUGUAAUCCUGGGAGGACCGCCUGUUGCGAAGGCGUCUAACUGGAACGGUUCUGACGGUGAGGGACGAAAGUUAGGGGCGCGAACCGGGAUUAGAUACCCGGGUAGUCCUAACCGUAAACGAUGCGGACUUGGUGUUGGGGUGGCUUUGAGCUGCUCCAGUGCCGAAGGAAGCUGUUAAGUCCGCCGCCUGGGAAGUACGGUCGCAAGACUGAAACUUAAAGGAAUU